GACGAACGCUGGCGGCGUGCCUAAUACAUGCAAGUAGAACGCACAGUUUAUACCGUAGCUUGCUGCACCAUAGACUGUGAGUUGCGAACGGGUGAGUAACGCGUAGGUAACCUGCCUGGUAGCGGGGGAUAACUAUUGGAAACGAUAGCUAAUACCGCAUAAUAUUGAUUAUUGCAUGAUAAUUGAUUGAAAGAUGCUAUUGCAUCACUACCAGAUGGACCUGCGUUGUAUUAGCUAGUAGGUGAGGUAACGGCUCACCUAGGCGACGAUACAUAGCCGACCUGAGAGGGUGAUCGGCCACACUGGGACUGAGACACGGCCCAGACUCCUACGGGAGGCAGCAGUAGGGAAUCUUCGGCAAUGGACGAAAGUCUGACCGAGCAACGCCGCGUGAGUGAAGAAGGUUGUCGGAUCGUAAAGCUCUGUUGUAAGAGAAGAACGGGUGUGAGAGUGGAAAGUUCACACUGUGACGGUAUCUUACCAGAAAGGGACGGCUAACUACUUG
rnacentral:rRNA from 1 species